GCAGAGGCCGACACCACGGGGCGGCUGGUAUGUGUCCACCGGCCCCUAGGCGCCUCGAGCCCCGCCCCUGGGAGACGCAGGCUCCUCCCCGCGGAGCGAGAGCCCGCGGAGCUGCUCCGAGACCCGCGGGAGGGCACCUCCGGUCACCCGAGCCGCAAAUCCCCGCCGUCCGAAGGGGGUGUCGCCCCGGGCUGUCGGCCCAGCGUGGCUUAGGCCAGGUACAACCGGCAGCGCCCGCCAAGCCCUGGGCUAGGGACGCCUGCGGGAGUUCACGGGGAGGCGCCGGUGUCUGAGGUCUGAGAAGACAGCGGCCACCGGAAAAGGUGCUAAUGUUUGCAGACCCCGAUCCAUCGACACCCCAAGGAAAUGCUGUGCACAAAAUUCCAAGAGGGCCUUUUCGAAUAGACGCAUGAACGGUGUUUGUGUCUGGAUCGUCCAGCCUCCCGGGAUCGAUUGGGAAUCUAGCUUCUGCUUGCCUUUCCAGCGCGACGCACAGUAGGAGCCUAAUAAAUGUUUGCUGAAUGAAUGCUGAAUAUCGAA
rnacentral:lncRNA from 1 species